GGCCGGUUAGCUCAGUUGGCUAGAGCGUCGUGCUAAUAACGCGAAUGUCAUGGGUUCGGCCCCCAUACUGGCCA
rnacentral:tRNA from 1 species